CCUACGGGUGGCAGCAGUGGGGAAUAUUGCACCAUGGGCGAAAGCCUGAUGCAGCACCGCCGCGUGAAGGAAGACGGUUUUCGGAUUGUAAACUUCUAUCACUAGGGAAGAAAGAAAUGACGGUACCUAAAUAAGAAGCCCCGGCUAACUACGUUCCAGCAGCCGCGGUAAUACGGAGGGGGCAAGCGUUAUCCGGAAUUACUGGGUGUAAAGGUAGAGUAGGCGGCAAGGUAAGCGAUAUGUGAAAGCCUUAGGCUUAACCAAAGGAUUGCAUAACGAACUAUCUAGCUAGAGUACAGGAGAGGAAAGCGGAAUUCCUAGUGUAGCGGUGAAAUGCGUAGAUAUUAGGAAGAACACCAGUGGCGAAGGCGGCUUUCUGGACUGAAACUGACGCUGAGGCUCGAAAGCGUGGGGAGCGAACAGGAUUAGAUACCCUAGUAGCC
rnacentral:rRNA from 1 species